AGCAGUAUAGCUUAGUGACUAAGCGCUAGUUUUUAAACUAGAGGUUACGAGGGUUUGAAUCCCUCUACUGCAA
rnacentral:tRNA from 1 species